CCCGGAAUCUUCACGCUUCUCGAAGGGACUUUGUGCAGGUACUAAAUUGUUUACAUAUAAAUAGGUUUGUUUGUUUGUUUGUUUGUUGUUUAACGCCGAACUCAGCAAUAUUCCAGCUAUAUGACGGCGGUCUGUAAAUAAUCGAGUCUGGACCAGACAAUCCAGUGAUUAAUAUCAUGAGCAUCGAGCCACGCAAUUGACCUCUCCGCAUGGAACCUUAAGCCACGCCUUCAAAGAGGUCACGACCUUUCCACCACUUCCUUAGACAAACUUAUAAACAACAUGGCUGCCUCUUGUCAAACUCGGAGAGCUUCGUUGGCGGAUUUACAGGCUGAUUUGUCGACUUCUUUUAUGAAACAGGUGUCAUUUUCAAUGAAAAGUAAACAGCAAGGGUUUAAGUUUUUUAGUGAGGGGUACUUCCAUUCAGUAAGCAUGACUUACGGAGAGAAUGACACCAUCGUCAGUAGUGCCAAGUGCUAUCGCAGUAUGAAGAAAAACGAGCCGCCCCAUGCUGUUCAUGUUGACAUCAAGCCUGAAGAAAUAUCCUAUGCCUAUUGUUCAUGUCAAGCAGGAGCUAGUGGAUCAUGUUCCCAUGUCAUUGGAUUCAUCAUAGCACUGCAGCAAUGGCAGUUGAUGGGUUUCACUGAGGAUCCAUCAAAGCUGUCCUGCACAUCACUUCCAGAACAGUGGAGCAAACCUCGGUGUACCAAAGUUGAAGCAGGCGAUGUACCACAUUUAGUUUUUGUCAACCCCAAACCAGACAGGAAAAAGAAACCAGUUACUAAUACAUUGACAGAAUGCAGGUACUUGAUUUAUACUGAUUUAUUUCAUGAAUUAUGCUUUCCUUAUUUCGCUCAAAGCAAACAAAUGUAUACAUAAAAUUCACUGGUAUGACAUGUAUCAUAAACAUUUACAUAAACUAAAUAAACUUUGAUUAUAUAAACUAAAUAUACAUUGAUAUAAACUAAAUGAUAAUCAUCAUGUUCAAUGGAAAUAGAUGCCAUAAUAUGAUAAUUAUCAUGCUUAUCACUCUUAAAUGUAUAACAUGUUCAACAAGACACAUUUGAAUUCAUCAACGGCAUAAACUUCAACAAGGAAGUGAGCUUUCAUGUUUGCACAAUAAGUUCUCUGGAUUAAGAAAGUGAGAUAGACAAUUACAUGUUACAGAAAUGUACGGGUCGAGGAGACAGAUGUUGAACAUCUUCAAGGCCUAAAACACCUUCCCAUUGGAUACCUUGUGUGCAACCCCUCAAAAACUGUGCACACUCAUGUUGGACCAGUCCCUGUUGGCAGUGGCUUGUCAACGCAUGCAAAGUUUUUUGAGACUGAGCCAAUAAAAUCUGUUGGCACUAGAUGUGGCAAUCUAGCUUUUCCCCAGGCCGCCACAGUGACCCUUGGAGCAGAGUACCACAUCGAGGAUACGACACAGGAGCAAUGUGAACAGUUAGAGCAACUAACAAGGGACCAGACCAACAGUCAGUUGUGGUUUCAAGCCAGGAAACACAGGCUGACAGCAUCCACAUUUGGGAUCAUACUCAAAAGAAAAACCAUCACAGAAAAGUUCAUCAACAACAUCAUAAAUGAAAAGGCUUUCACAUCUGCUGCAACCAGCUAUGGCAAAAGUAAUGAAAGACAAGCUAUUGAAAAAUACAUUAAGCAGUCAGGUAAUCAUGUUCAUGAUUGUGGUCUUGUAGUGAACAGAAAGUUUCCAUUUCUAGGAGCUACACCAGAUGGGAAGGUGUGUGAAGAUGGUAUUACAGGCAUCAUAGAAGUA